rnacentral:lncRNA from 1 species
GCCCCACUACGCGGGGCCCAGAGCCAGGGUGGGGGAUGCAGAGACCGGGCGUGCGGGUUGCCAGGUGUGGCGCACAUGUGUGCCCGUGGGCAGAGUACAGAGACACAAGCUUGUGUGGACACGAAUGUGUAGCUAUGUGCGAGUGCACACGGCGUGGUGAGUGCAGGGACCCCAGGCCGGCCUGCGUCGGUGCGCAGGGCAUAUAGGGGCGUGCACGCAGUCUUGGAGGUGUGUGCACAGAGCCCCCGGCACCCGCGUGUGUGCAAAGACACAGGAACCCGUCUGCGUGGCGCUGUGUGUGCAACCCAAGGAGGUGGGCGCUUGGACUCCAAAGUGUGCGCUUAUCCGGAUGUGGAUGUGGGGGCAGCCGGGGACAGGGCUGGGUGUGCGUGACUCGGGUGUGCCGGGACCCACAGAGCAUAUGUGUCCAUGCCUGGUGCUGUGACUCAUGUCCCUGGGGUGGGCACGCGUGCUGUGUCAGCGGGAGCCGCGCCUCCCAGGGCAGCCCAGAGUUCCAGAAGCCCAGAAGAGGAAGGGUUAAACCUGCCUCUUCCCCCAGCUCCCAGCUGAGUCCAGGGCUGGGAUCUCAGGGGCUGCUACACAGGAAAGCCGGACUGAGCUGCUCCCCAGCCUCAGUUUCCCUCCUGUUCCUCGGAUGCGUUCGCAGGGUGGGUC